rnacentral:rRNA from 1 species
UACGUAGGGGGCAAGCGUUGUCCGGAUUUACUGGGCGUAAAGAGCGUGUAGGCGGCCAGGUAGGUCAGCUGUGAAAACUCGAGGCUCAACCUCGAGAUGUCGGUGGAAACUGCUUGGCUAGAGUCCGGAAGAGGAGUGUGGAAUUCCUGGUGUAGCGGUGAAAUGCGCAGAUAUCAGGAAGAACACCUAUGGCGAAGGCAGCACUCUGGGACGGUACUGACGCUGAGACGCGAAAGCGUGGGGAGCGAACAGG